UACGAAGGGGGCUAGCGUUGCUCGGAAUCACUGGGCGUAAAGCGCACGUAGGCGGAUUUUUAAGUCAGGGGUGAAAUCCUGGAGCUCAACUCCAGAACUGCCUUUGAUACUGGGAAUCUCGUAGUCCGGAAGAGGUGAGUGGGAACUGCGAGUGUAGAGGUGAAAUUCGAUAGAUAUCGAGAGGAACACCUGCGGCGGAAGGCGGUUGCU
rnacentral:rRNA from 1 species